CGAUUUUUGAAAUCAGCGCCUCAAAAUUGACCAAAGUCACAUAUUCUCAUAAAUUCCCUGCUCGGGUUACGAUACCCCCCCUUCUCCUCCUGGACUAUAUCGCUCACCCGAGCGAUUUUUUUUCAGUCGGACGAUAACGAUACAUUUUUUGACCAUCAGCGCGCGUAUACAAGUUUAUCGUAUCGUUAUCGUUGUGUAUGUGGUGUGUAACCAGAAUGGGGGCGAGAUUAAUUUGGAUAAUCAGUAAAUUUUGAACAUAAAGUUUAGUAAUAAUAACUGCUGGGAAAUCUGGUCACACUGACCCUGGUCAAAUAUUAACCGUGGUCAAACGACGGAUGAGAGUCAUGAAGAGACCACAGAACUGAGACUGAUGCCUUGAUGGAUUGGCAAGCAAGAGUUUGUGAGUUUCUAAAGCCCCGCGGGUAAACGAGGAUGAGAGUUGGCAGUCAUGCAUUUACGGGGACAUUUCAAGCUCUAUAGAUUAACAAAAUAAAGGUCCAUGAUAUAGUGUUGGGAAAGCAAUAAUAAGAAUAGCUAACCAAGGGCAAGGUCCCGUGACUGCCAACUCUUAUUCUCGAUUCCUUGUGCCCCGGUCAAACGUGAACAAGAGUGCAUGCGACUUGAUGACCGCGCGCAACUCUCAUCAAAAUUUGAGUGCAUGAGUUCGUCAGGGUUGGCGAUCAACACAAGCGAGAGUCGCAUCCUCGAGAAAUUGAAAAAAAACGCAUGUUUCAAUUUCGUCUGAAAUAAACUGUGAUCUGAACAUAGCUGCUAUGUUCAGAUGAGCCCAAACCACGUCGGUCUUGUCACUUUUUAUGCUUUUAUCAAUGGGCAAAUGUUCGUA